rnacentral:lncRNA from 13 species
UAACGGAUGACGUCAACUUCACUCCGAUUUAUCGCGCGAGUCAAGCGAGGGUUAAGAGGCCGAAAUCGAGACGGCUAAUCGAGACGGCUAAUCGAGAGUAUCGAGACGGCUUCCCUGCACGCACAAGGUGUCAUACGCGUGCUGUAACGCGCGCUAACGCAUGCAUAUAUACAAAGUAAGGGUCAAUCAAUCGCGUCGAUUCGACAUCUUAAGUUUUAUAGCUUGACUCGCGUUAUGUCGCGGCGGUAAAUCGGAGUGAAGUUGCCGACGCUGACGUCAUCCGCUAUCGACGCUCUUUCCCGUCAACGGAACGCCACGAAGACGCGGCGUAGCGGAGCGCUCUCGAUUCACGUUUAAUCAAGAAUUACGGCUUGCCCAACUGGUCCUGUAUAUUCGUUGCGUUUCGGCAAUAAGCGCGCGCGUGUGAGAUCGUGUGUAAGAGCUGUGGAGGAGCAGCGCUGCGAAGAAUUCCGAGAGAAGGAGCGGCAGAAGCUCGGCGUCGGGCAGCGCGAGAGGGAAGAGGACGCGCGAGGAGAGCAACAGAAGCUUGGUCGGCGUCGGUCGGCGUCAGUCGGCGUAGCGCGACUGCGGAGGGCGGACUUCCAAUAAAAUCGGGAACGCCUACGAAGCUGGAAAUCGAGGAGGCGCGGCUUGGAACCGCGAUAACACGUACAUCACGAUUACUGGCGAAAUCACGUUUCCGGAACGGCGAAUAAACGCGUUCGACGAUUUGCGAGUGUU